GGUCUUAUAGUAUAAUGGUUAUUACCUUCUAUUCUUAGACUCUUAGAGUAGAGUAAUUCAGGUUCGAUUCCUGAUAAGACUU